rnacentral:rRNA from 1 species
UGGGGAAUCUUCCGCAAUGGACGAAAGUCUGACGGAGCAACGCCGCGUGAGUGAAGAAGGUUUUCGGAUCGUAAAACUCUGUUUUCAGGGACGAAUGUGCAAUAUGUGAAUAAUGUGUUGUAAUGACGGUACCUGACAAGAAAGCCACGGCUAACUACGUGCCAGCAGCCGCGGUAAUACGUAGGUGGCAAGCGUUGUCCGGAAUUAUUGGGCGUAAAGCGCGCGCAGGUGGGAUAAUAAGUCUGAUGUUAAAGUUCGGGGCUCAACCCCGUGAAGCAUUGGAAACUAUUAUUCUUGAGUGCAGGAGAGGAAAGUGGAAUUCCUAGUGUAGCGGUGAAAUGCGUAGAUAUUAGGAGGAACACCAGUGGCGAAGGCGACUUUCUGGACUGUGUCUGACACUGAGGCGCGAAAGCCAGGGUAGUGAACG